CAGUCGCCGCGGUAAUGCGAAGGGUGCAAGCGUUAAUCGGAAUUACUGGGCGUAAAGCGUGCGCAGGCGGUUUGUUAAGACAGAUGUGAAAUCCCCGGGCUCAACCUGGGAACUGCAUUUGUGACUGGCAAGCUAGAGUGUGGCAGAGGGGGGUGGAAUUCCGCGUGUAGCAGUGAAAUGCGUAGAUAUGCGGAGGAACACCGAUGGCGAAGGCAGCCCCCUGGGCCAACACUGACGCUCAUGCACGAAAGCGUGGGGAGCAAACAGGAUUAGAUACCCGUGUAGUCCCUGUCUCUUAUAA
rnacentral:rRNA from 1 species